rnacentral:lncRNA from 1 species
GCAGUAUUCGAAUUCUUCAACUAAGCUACAGCCUACAGAUUAAACAAAUAACAGGGAACACAAACAUCCAAAUUGACAUAGACCUCUCUUCUUUUCUCAAUUUCCUCAGCUGCACUCACGGGAUUAAGGUUUUUAAACCAAACCCCAUCGACAAACGAGAAAUGAAAGCAGAGAACUACUUCAAACCCAAAAUAUCCAGACAGUAAAUAAACUGGAAUAAAUCAAAACCCAUCUGUACAAACUAGAUUCUCAAAAAGACCUAGGCAUCAUGAUUCAAUUUCCAUAAUCUAACAAACUUACAAAGUAACAGAAAAAUACAAAAAUUUCCAAGCAAAGCGCACGCAUCUGAUAGAUCAAAAGGGAAAUUAGAGAGCUAACCUUGGACCCCAGAAUGGUAGAUACCGAGGCCAAGCCAGUAAGCAUACUCGUUCAUGGGAGUGAGAUCGUACACGUUAAGGUACACCGGUACUGCACCCGUCUUCCUCUUCCGCCCCAUCAUUCUGCAUAGCAUCUUUUUCAAUAUAUUUUUAUUUCACACACAAAUUUUCUCUCUAUUUAAUACGGUUAAUAGAUUUGGAAUUGGGAUUGAAAAGACGAAGAAUCAGAGGAGAAAUCCCAUCUCACUUUCCCUGAAAUUCCGAUUCCCACUUUAACUGUUAUAAUAAUGAAUUAUUUUAUAGUACCAACAUUCUACUGCACCUAGACUUGAUGACACUUUAAUAUACACGCACGCGCAUGAGUUGCAUCAGAUCAUGCGAAAAAUCCAAGCUCAAAUCCGAAUAUAGCAAUUAAAUUACAGUUAAUAAAUAAAAUUAUAGGAAUUAACGGCGCCAGAAAGAGUUUGCGGCCCCCAAGAUGCUUUUUAUAUCUUGGUUGUCUUCUGUAGAAGGUUAACCGUAAGUACUGUACCAAGGAUGAGUUCCCCCCCCCCGCCCCCCCACUUAAAAGCACUUUACUGCCAUUGAACUGUGGAUUUCCAUGGUCACAGAAUGGGAUUUGGGAAUCGAGUGUUAACUACGGUCGGUGAGAAGCCCAAAAACAAGGCAGCUCACGUUCUUAGUUUGGAGAAUUUGCACGAGUGCUCCUCAAUAUAUCUCACUUGUUCCACUUGAGUCUCAUUCAAUUUUUUCUGGUAUUCAAGUUUCCAAGCUAUAACUUUUGGUGUAGGUAGGGCUGGAUAAAACUCUCUAAUCAAAUCAAAUUAAACUGAAUUUGACCUGACACGAAUUAAAUCGAAUUGAGCGGUUCUUUUUAAACUAUAUAUCGAAACGAGUAUUCGAAAAGAGAAUAGACGGCUUUGGUUCGGUUCUCGAUUCUAGAUCAAGAACCGAAUCUUUCUAACUUUUUAAAUUUAUUUAUUUUAAAUAAACCAAAUUCUUUUAUUUUUCUAAUAAAUUUGUUAACUAAUUAAUUUUGCUCAAACUCAAAAUACGAUUUUUCCUAUUUCUAUUUUUUGGUCCAAGCCCAACUUAACCAAAUUGGCCUAAUUUUAUCCAAAUUUGUUAGAGAAAUCGAAUUGAAACCUCGGCUAACCUACUUGCUAUAUUCCUUUUCUGUGAUUUUAACAAUCAAAUCUAUGAAGAAUCCAACAAAAAGAAAUGUAAAAGAUGCAUAAGAUUGAAUUACAUUAUUUUAUAAGAGGUAUGAUUAAAAAUAUCAUUAGUUGAAUUAAUGUAGCAUUGUUAUAAAUAUUUAAAAAUUUAAUUAUUAUAUAGAACCCAAGAACUUAAUGAAACCGAACUCGAAUGAUUUCAUAAUUAAAUUUGAACAUGAUGGCUCCAUUUACUAGAUACCCAAAAAUUCGGAUUGAAUCGGACAAUAUCCAACCUAUGUAUAGGUUAAUCAAUAUGGAUGGAUAAUGUCAUAAAAUGUGGAGAAUCAAAUCGAAUCGGACCAUAUCCAACCUAAAUAAUAUGGAUGGACAAUGUCAUAAAUUGUUACCUCCCCCAAACAUCUCGCAAGUGUAGGACUACUACAAACUAGCCUAGCACAGUCGUUCCACUAGCUGGGAUUUAUGAAGAUGUGUCUUUUUUUUUUAAUGAUGGGGAACUCAUAGUCGUUAUCAUUCAGAUGCGCAUUAGGUAAACUUUCGAACUGACGCAAUAGCCUGCAAACCACGUCAAUUAAAUAAAUCACACUAGGCAAGCACGGUGCGACAGACUCGAUUGAGAAAGUGUUAGUAGGGGAAUCGAGCUCGUAACCAAAGAUGUCCACGCUCACCUACUCCACCAACUCGACCAUGUCAUGAGGGGUUUAUGAAGAUGUGUCUUUGUUUAUAUAACUGAUGAGAAAGACGAGCUCCGUUUAACACCACUAUUAGUUUAUUUACAAAGUCCAAAAUUAUUAACUUUCAUUGGUAAUAAAAGCAUGAAAAGGGGACAAAUGUGAUGAUUAUAGUCAAAUAAACUACGUCAACAAGAUCUCAUACUUUUUUUUGUCUUUUUUCUUUCUUUUUUUUUAUAAUAGAUAUGUCUUUCUAACAUGGUUCGUCAUCAAUUCUUGAUUAUGUAUUUGAUUUUUAAUGAGCUAUGGUACUUUAAAGACAGAUGAGACUCUGAUGAACUAUACAAUGUGCUUGUGUAAGAGGAAACGUAACUUACGAAUUGGGAAACUCAUUUCAUUCAUUUUGCAAGUCACUAAGGAGUUGGAGAAGAGAACUGCAUGGUGUACAGGUAGGGAUUCUGUAUCCCUAUCGACACCUCACACGGGAGAUGAGUGAAUUAAUUUUUGGACAUUUUUUUAUUCUAUGAGGUCCGCGCAUUUGUGAAUUUCCUGUAAAUAUUCUGUUAAGAAUAAAUUUGUGUCAAAGAUUUAUUCUUUGGAGAAAGAAAUAAGGAAAGAAUCUUCAAAAAGCAGUCAACAAUCAAAUUGUGAUUUUAUGUAGAUUUUAUAGUUUAGAGUUUAGACAACUUUUUUAAAACUAACAAUACGAGUAACAUAAAUUAAUAACACAUAAUAAAUGAAAAUUAAAAGUAAUAACUACGAGUCUUCUUAAGAGUCGUCGAAAACGUGGUCUUAAAGUUGUAUAGUCAUUCUCAUUGUGCUGGUAUUGGCAUUGCACGAUUCUAAGAUAAAAUUCAUAAAACUCACAUUUCGUUCUCCUUAUAUGGACAUAGCCUUAUGAAAAGAAAAAUGAGCAUUUAUUGAUCCGCGUACACUAUAUGAAUAAAUUAUAUUAUCAAUUAUAUAUUUUUAUUUUUCGGGGAAUAGAAAAUGAAAACCGUUGACCUCUUUUUGUAGUUGUACAUAUUGUAACUCGUGUAUUACACGUCUUAUUGAAAGGUAAAAAAAAUUAUAUGAAUCUUUCGAAUGAUAAUGUUAGGAGUUACAAAUAUAAAAUAGGAGUUAAAUUUUAAUAAUUAGAAAUUAAUCAUGUAAUAAUUUAUAUCUAGGAAAUAGACCUCAAAUUAAAUAUCAAAUAAAUUAAAUAAUUGAAGGAUUAAAGCUUUAUAAAUUAAUUUUUGUUUUAACAUCAACAAGGACCAUCAAGAAUGGUUACUGUAGAAAAUGUAAAACCCUGGUUAAAAGUUAAAACCCUCUUCCCCCUCGACUGUAAACUCCCCCUCAAGUCGGGCAAAAAUGGCCCGAGCUCUCGUCUAUGGCUGGCGUAGAUCACAAAUCUUCCAGAAAAUUGCAUCAAGCUGCUGCUACAGGAUUACCAAGAACAGGGAGAAGGAACAUUUCAUCAAACCUAUUUCAUGUUUGUCUCCGAGUCAAUGUCGUGAGGCCCAUAACACUUCGAACAAGUCCCGGAGUGCCGACCCUCAAAUUAAAACACAAGGGCAGACAAAGCCAUAUUCGCCGUUCGAAUCCAAAAUUCUCAGACUCGUCCGGGAUGAG